UACAGAGGGUGCAAGCGUUAAUCGGAAUUACUGGGCGUAAAGCGCGCGUAGGUGGUUCGUUAAGUUGGAUGUGAAAUCCCCGGGCUCAACCUGGGAACUGCAUUCAAAACUGUCGGGCUAGAGUAUGGUAGAGGGUGGUGGAAUUUCCUGUGUAGCGGUGAAAUGCGUAGAUAUAGGAAGGAACACCAGUGGCGAAGGCGACCACCUGGACUGAUACUGACACUGAGGUGCGAAAGCGUGGGGAGCAAACAGG
rnacentral:rRNA from 1 species